rnacentral:rRNA from 1 species
CCCACGACUCUCGGCAACGGAUAUYUCGGCUCUCGCAUCGAUGAARAAGGUAGCGAAAUGCGAUCCCUGGUGUGAAUUGCAGAAUCCCGCGAACCAUCGAGUCUUUGAACGCAAGUUGCGCCCGAGGCCACUCGGCCGAGGGCACCCCUGCCUGGGCGUCACGC